AUGAAGCCCAGCUUGCUGGGUGGAUUAGUGGCGAACGGGUGAGUAACACGUGAGUAACCUGCCCUUGACUCUGGGAUAAGCCUGGGAAACUGGGUCUAAUACCGGAUAGGAACGUCCACCGCAUGGUGGGUGUUGGAAAGAUUUAUCGGUCAUGGAUGGACUCGCGGCCUAUCAGCUUGUUGGUGAGGUAAUGGCUCACCAAGGCGACGACGGGUAGCCGGCCUGAGAGGGUGACCGGCCACACUGGGACUGAGACACGGCCCAGACUCCUACGGGAGGCAGCAGUGGGGAAUAUUGCACAAUGGGCGAAAGCCUGAUGCAGCGACGCCGCGUGAGGGAUGACGGCCUUCGGGUUGUAAACCUCUUUCAGUAGGGAAGAAGCGAAAGUGACGGUACCUGCAGAAGAAGCACCGGCUAACUACGUGCCAGCAGCCGCGGUAAUACGUAGGGUGCGAGCGUUAUCCGGAAUUAUUGGGCGUAAAGAGCUCGUAGGCGGUUUGUCGCGUCUGUCGUGAAAGUCCGGGGCUUAACCCCGGAUCUGCGGUGGGUACGGGCAGACUAGAGUGCAGUAGGGGAGACUGGAAUUCCUGGUGUAGCGGUGGAAUGCGCAGAUAUCAGGAGGAACACCGAUGGCGAAGGCAGGUCUCUGGGCUGUAACUGACGCUGAGGAGCGAAAGCAUGGGGAGCGAACAGGAUUAGAUACCCUGGUAGUCCAUGCCGUAAACGUUGGGCACUAGGUGUGGGGACCAUUCCACGGUUUCCGCGCCGCAGCUAACGCAUUAAGUGCCCCGCCUGGGGAGUACGGCCGCAAGGCUAAAACUCAAAGGAAUUGACGGGGGCCCGCACAAGCGGCGGAGCAUGCGGAUUAAUUCGAUGCAACGCGAAGAACCUUACCAAGGCUUGACAUGUUCUCGAUCGCCGUAGAGAUACGGUUUCCCCUUUGGGGCGGGAUCACAGGUGGUGCAUGGUUGUCGUCAGCUCGUGUCGUGAGAUGUUGGGUUAAGUCCCGCAACGAGCGCAACCCUCGUUCCAUGUUGCCAGCACGUAAUGGUGGGGACUCAUGGGAGACUGCCGGGGUCAACUCGGAGGAAGGUGGGGACGACGUCAAAUCAUCAUGCCCCUUAUGUCUUGGGCUUCACGCAUGCUACAAUGGCCGGUACAAUGGGUUGCGAUACUGUGAGGUGGAGCUAAUCCCAAAAAGCCGGUCUCAGUUCGGAUUGGGGUCUGCAACUCGACCCCAUGAAGUCGGAGUCGCUAGUAAUCGCAGAUCAGCAACGCUGCGGUGAAUACGUUCCCGGGCCUUGUACACACCGCCCGUCAAGUCACGAAAGUCGGUAACACCCGAAGCCGGUGGCCUAACCCUUGUG
rnacentral:rRNA from 1 species